GUUCUUUGGGAUGAUGAAGCAACUGACCAGUCCUCAUGUUUCCUCAAGAAUAGAGGGUUAUGUCAAAGAUGAUUGACAACUGAGUCAGUAGGAACCUACCACUUUAGUGUUCUAUAAGAGAGUUGGAAAUAACUCCUUAUUCUUUUUUUGGCUCUCCCUCUUCUAGGAUGCAACCAGUGCUUUCUCCACCUUGGACAUCCAAUGGGGGAGAAUGAUUUUCAGACCUUGGAGAACAGAACUAAAAUGAUUAACAGAGAAUAAAAUCUCCAGAUGUGAAACUGAGACCCGAGGAGGAUGAAUGACUUGCCCAAAGUCACACAGCAAAGAAAUAUCAGAGAUAGGAUUUGAU